rnacentral:rRNA from 1 species
GACGAACGCUGGCGGCGUGCUUAACACAUGCAAGUCGAACGGAAAGGCCCUGCUUUUGUGGGGUGCUCGAGUGGCGAACGGGUGAGUAACACGUGAGUAACCUGCCCUUGACUUUGGGAUAACUUCAGGAAACUGGGGCUAAUACCGGAUAUGAGCUCCUGCUGCAUGGUGGGGGUUGGAAAUUUUCGGCGGUUGGGGGUGGACUCGCGGCUUAUCAGCUUGUUGGUGGGGUAGUGGCUUACCAAGGCUUUGACGGGUAGCCGGCCUGAGGGGGUGACCGGCCACAUUGGGAUGGAGAUACGGCCCAGACCCCUACGGGGGGAAGAAGUGGGGAAUAUUGCACAAUGGGCGGAAGCCGGAGGAAGCAACGCCGCGUGCGGGAUGACGGCCUUCGGGUUGUAAACCGCUUCCGCCUGUGACGAAGCGUGAGUGACGGUAAUGGGUAAAGAAGCACCGGCUAACUACGUG